GGGCGCAAAUCUAGGCCGGGGGUAGCCCCCGCCCCCUCACUGCCCCGAUGCAGCCGGCCUCAGCCACCGUCCAGGACUCGCACCCACUCUUGCACCCCAGAUUCCCUGCCGAUUGCGAGGCCGGAACUCGGCAGAGGCCGGGGAGCCCCAGCCGGCCUGCCGCUCUCCGUGCUCCGCCAAGGGACUUCCUCCGCGCUGCACCACCCUUCGGGACACAAAGAACUUCUGUUAGUUUUGAAAAGCUUGCCUCAAAAGCGUCCGAAAGAGACUGUUGCCCCAACUUUGGACGGGCGACGGGAGGGGACGCUCCUGUUUUUAUUUACCGCCCCUCACCCCAGGCUUGCUUUCCUCACGCCCCCUCACUCAACAUUUAGAAGGAAAGUUGAGGGAAAGCCACCGAGUGAGAGCAGAAAACCUGCCGUGUAGCCCGUUUUGUUCUGUCAACCGCGAAGAAAGGUUACCGAAACCUCUCCCCCCGCGACUAAUUCUUUUGCUUCUCAACUUGAGCUCUCGAAUUUCGAAAAGGAUGAGACAUUGCUGUUCACCUAAGCGAAACUCCAAAGUUUACCAAACUCGAGCCCCGAGGGCUUAGACAGUUCUGUACAGCACAAGAUCGAGUGAUUUUGCGAUUUUUACCCCCCAGCGGAGAUGGGGGGGACCACGCCGGCCAUCCUCCCCCUCCCCCUCCUCCUCGGUAGGUGGCGACCACGGCGCUUUUUCCAGCCUUUGUCGCUGGAAAGAAAACUUUCCGAGCAGCCAGGCUUUUGAUGUAGGUCCAAGACCUUCCCUUUGACUCUUCGUUCCAGAUUGGCGUUCCCCAUCUUUCUUGCAAUAGACCGCACCCAUAAGGCAGCCGAAUCUAGAAUUUCCAUGCUGGGAUUCUUUAAGAUAGAGGGAGACUUUAAAGAUCCCUGCAGAAGCGGUCCGAUUGCAGAUUUCCACAUUUUUACGAUUUCCCCUGCAACGUUUUUACAGGCAUUUUGUCCCCGCCUAACCCGAUUGUGACUCUCCUUUGUCGAGUCUCUCCAAAGCGUUCAUUUCGUUUUCAUGAAAAGUUUUCUUUUUGCACUCGUAUUUCGUUAACAUACUGGACUAUUAAAUUCCGUAUUCCCAGUAGCACGUAAAACUGACAUCUAUGUAAGGAACAAACCAAAUUUUGAGAAAGUCUGCAAUUGAGCUGAUGGGAGCAGUCAGCCUUCCAGGGACAAACAUUCAGCCGCUGUGAGCACCGGGAGAAUCAUACUGCUAUAUGUGAGCAGCCCCGUGGAGAGGCCCAGGUGCUGGGAAAGUGAAGCCAUUGGCCAACAGCCACGUGAGCGAGCUUGGGAACAGAUUCUCCUGCCCCGAUUCCAGGAGGUGACUGCUACCCAACCAUGGCUGGAGUGCAAGCUCCUGGGACGCUCACAGCCAGAAGCACUCCUCCAGCUGCUCCUGGAUUCCUGACCCUCAGAACCAAUACUAGACAGGAACCAAGGUGCUGAGGCCCUGAGGACACCCUGAGGACACCCAAGGUCCCGGAGAGGAGAAACCCCUCAGGAGCUGUCAUCUGGUCGUGUCUAAUCUGCCGUCUGUUAGCCUGAGGAUUAACUGAAUUUUGCCCGAGGGAAGAAAGCAACCAAGCUUAUUAAAUCACAGCCACGCUACGUACACAAUUCCAAAGCAGUCGGCUCGGCUCGGGGGCAAAGUACGAGAACCCUCAACAGCUGUGUCCUCUCUCCACUAGUUUGAGGUCUGCAGCCAGACUGGUGACUGUGAACUGACAAUCGUGAUCCCAAGGGGGCAAAGG